rnacentral:lncRNA from 1 species
GCCUUUUGAGAGAUGAACUCAGCCUGGAGUACUUUAAGUGGUAACUGCUCCAGUUUUCUCUUCCCUUCUCUGGGCUCCUCUCUUUGCUUCCGACCAGGUUCCACUCCUGUUUAUCCCUGGGUGGUUCGCCCCUGGAUUUAGCAAUGCGAUCUACUUGCUGGUUAUUUGAUUCCGGAGGAGCAUUGGCUGGGGCUGCGAUUCCCGCCGCGCAGUCUCCAAGCAUUUCCGCCACAUCGCCGGGGCUCCAGGUUCCAGUGCAAGUCUUCAGCGGUAGAUUGCAGAACUGAAAACGAGUUUGAGCAUCCAAGCAUCUCUCUUAACAGCCAGGUGCUGACCAGUAAGAUUCCAUACAAAUCUGCAAAAGGACUCUGGAGGACAAAUACUUCAGCAGACACCAUGAAGUCCUGGAGAGUCUCCACAAAAACCGUGAGUGUUUCUCCCGUGUAUAGUCAAGGAAGUGGAUAACCCAGUAUUCCAAGAAAUCCCAAGGUAGAGCCUUCACCUCAAGGAGGAGGCCACGUCUGAAGGCACAGAAGAGAAAGUGCUGCUUUCUGGCUUCCCUUUAAACUUGGAAGCUUUGUGGACUUGAGGGCAAGUGAUGAAAUCGCCCCAGCUUGGACUCCAGGAAGAUCCAAAUGAGCACUUCCAAGUAGGAUGUGGAGGGUGACUUCUUUUGCCUUCAGGACUGUCCCACUUGCUGUCCCGCUUAGCUGAAAGAACUAAGUCUCCUAAAUAAGUAUUUGUGGUUCACCAAAGUGAACAAAGUAUAUAUCCAAAUAUUGAUUCAGAAUCCAAAAGACCUCUGCCUCUCUGGAUUGAAUAACUUUCCUUCUUUUUCCUCUUUCCUUUACAUUUUAUACCCGGACAAAGCAGUGUGGGGACCUUCAGUGUGCACUGAUGAUGAAUCAGCCUUGGAACCUGGUGUGUUAAGCUUGACUCCAAAUGUAUAAGUAAUUUUUCUAUCAAAUAUGACAUUUGGUUGUACUGUAUCACUGUUUACCUAAAAUUAUAAUCAGAAAAUUGACAUUUAUCAUUAAUUCAAUAUGUAGCCCCUUUGUUUCCAUGUGCAUAUUUGUAUUCUGACAUGUUCCAUGAUAUUUGCAGCCUAAAAAAGGAAAAAUUAACAUAUAUAUAUUAUGUUUUAGAAUCCGUGUAGAAUAAAACAUGAUCUUGAUGUUUGGAAGGUUA